rnacentral:tRNA from 1 species
UCCUUGUUAGUAUAUCGGCUAGUACGCCCGCUUGUCAGUUGUAUAACUAUUCGCGGGAGAGCUGGGUUCAACUCCCAGACAGGGAG